rnacentral:rRNA from 1 species
CGGCGGACGGGUGAGUAACACGUGGAUAACCUACCUAUAAGACUGGGAUAACUUCGGGAAACCGGAGCUAAUACCGGAUAAUAUAUUGAACCGCAUGGUUCAAUAGUGAAAGACGGUUUUGCUGUCACUUAUAGAUGUAUCCGCGCCGCAUUAGCUAGUUGGUAAGGUAACGGCUUACCAAGGCGACGAUGCGUAGCCGACCUGAGAGGGUGAUCGGCCACACUGGAACUGAGACACGGUCCAG